CCUACGGGCUGCAGCAGUGAGGAAUAUUGGUCAAUGGACGAGAGCCUGAACCAGCCAAGUAGCGUGCAGGAUGACUGCCCUACGGGUUGUAAACUUCUUUUAUACAGGAAUAACACGACGUACGUGUGGGUUUUUGCAUGUACUGUAUGAAUAAGGACCGGCUAAUUCCGUGCCAGCAGCCGCGGUAAUACGGAGGAUCCGGGCGUUAUCCGGAUUUAUUGGGUUUAAAGGGAGCGUAGGCCGGAUGUUAAGCGUGCUGUGAAAUUUUGGGGCUCAACCCGAGACUUGCAGUGGCUACUGGCGUGCUUGAGUACGAGGAAGGCAGGCGGAAUUCGUGGUGUAGCGGUGAAAUGCUUAGAUAUCACGAAGAACCCCGAUUGCGAAGGCAGCUUACUAAACUGUAACUGACGCUGAUGCUCGAAAGCGUGGGUAUCGAACAGGAUUAGAUACCCCGGUAGUC
rnacentral:rRNA from 1 species